rnacentral:tRNA from 7 species
UGGCUAGUAGCUCAGUUGGUAGAGCAUUGCACUGUUAAUGCGACGGUCGUAGGUUCGAGCCCUACCUAGUCAGCCA